GCGGUAGUGGUGUAACCUGGCAGCACAAAGGACUGUGGAUCCUUCAGUCCGGGUUCAAAUCCCGGCUACCGCC
rnacentral:tRNA from 1 species